CCCCCAGCCACGGUCGCUCGGGCUUCCCGCUACCCCGCGCCUGCCCUCUCUCCUGGUGCCAAGGACCCGGUCCGCGCGCGCCCCGGGUCUCGGGCUCCUCUUUCCGAGUUCCUCUCGAGUCCGUGCCAGGCUUCCGAGGCAGGCGCGCUCCUACUCGCCACCGCUGGGAAGCUGCGAACAUCCACACAAGAUUGUCCAUCACUUUUGGUCACUUCUCUCUGCACAGUCAUCAACACAGGUGCCCGUCAGAAUAUCGAUGAAAGUCCUGGCACUAACCUAGAUGGAACCCAGGGCCUCACCAUGCUAGUCAAGUGCUCCAC